rnacentral:misc_RNA from 1 species
GAUGAAGAACGUAGCGAAAUGCGAUAAGUAAUGUGAAUUGCAGAAUUCAGUGAAUCAUCGAAUCUUUGAACGCACAUUGCGCCCCCUGGUAUUCCGGGGGGCAUGCCUGUUCGAGCGUCAUUUCACCACUCAAGCCUCGCUUGGUAUUGGGCGACGCGGUCCGCCGCGCGCCUCAAAUCGACCGGCUGGGUCUUCCGUCCCCUCAGCGUUGUGGAAACUAUUCGCUAAAGGGUGCCGCGGGAGGUCACGCCGCAAAACAACCCCAUUUCUAAGGUUGACCUCGGAUCAGGUAGGGAUACCCGCUGAACUUAAGCAUAUCAAUAAGGGAGGA